rnacentral:rRNA from 1 species
AUUGAACGCUAGCGGGAUGCUUUACACAUGCAAGUCGAACGAGUGGCGGGCGGGUGAGUAAUAUAUCGGAACGUGCCCAGUAGCGGGGGAUAACUACUCGACAUAGUGGAUAAUCCCGCAUAAUAUUGGAGCGGCCGAUAUAGGAUGAGCGAGUUGGUGGGGGAAAGGCGCACAAAGGCAACAAACCGUAGCUGGUUUGAGAGGACGACCAGCAAAACUGGGACUGAAACACGACCCAGACUCCAACGGGAGGAAGCAGUGGGGAAUUUUGGAAAAUGGGGGAAACCCUGAUCCAGCCAUCCCGCGUGUAUGAGAAGGCCUUCGGGUUGUAAAGUACUUUUGGCAGGGAAGCGGUAUCUGCAGAAUAAGCACCGGCUAACUACGUGCCAGCAGCCGCGGUAAUAC